UCGUGGCGUGAGUCGUCUGCUUAAUUGCGAUAACGAGCGAGACUCCGACUGUUAAAUACGCGCGGGUUCACUUUGACUCAACGCGUUCUUAACUGGAUUCGUGGCUUCAAGCCGCAAGAAAUGGAGCAAUAACA
rnacentral:rRNA from 1 species